AAACGUUUUGUAACAACACUCGCUAGCGUAAAAUCAGCUGUUGUUGUUAAGUACACGACGUCUAGUUUGGUGUUGCUAGCGAAAAUAAAAAGUUCUCCAGCACAUAAAUAAAUAAUAAAUAUACUGAGAAUAUGCCGUUUGAAUACGUUGGUUAUAAUUUAUCGGAACGUGAGCAGCAGUUAAACGUGUCGAGUGUAAAUCGGCGUAUGUUGCGAAGUGCGGACAACCCGUUUGAACUGGCUCCAACGGAGUUCCGGAAAUUAUACAGGCUACCAAGCUUGGCAGCCGAUCUAGUUCAACGGUUAGAAAUACAUUUAAAAGGAUCUAGAAUAACUGCAGUAUCAGCUGAAAAGCCGGUCCGGCACUAGAUUUUAAGCUUAAUGCAGUUUAUUAUAACUUAUCUUGUACUUUGGAAGGUUCUGGCUUUUUUACGUUUUUAUGCCACUGGAUGUUACCAGCGCCCUGUAGGAGAGCAGUGGGGCAUUUCAAUGAGCCAGUCGUCAAUAAGCCGAUGUAUACAUAAAGUGACAGAUGUAAUAAACAACCGCGUGUUUUUUACGGAAGUCAAGUUUCUCAUGACGCAAAUGGAUCGUCAAGCUGCUAAAGGAACAUUCUCCUCAGUACCUGCUCUUUUUGUUGGGAGAACCAUUGGGGCUAUCCGAAAAACAAUGAGGAGGCGUACGUUAAUCACCAUGGCUACCACCCAUUGAAUGUACAAAUGAUAUGCGACCCAAAUUUGAAGAUUUUAAACGUAAACGCAAAGUAUCCGGGAGCACGACAUGACUCCUAUAUUUUGUGCUCCUCUGCAGUGCGACAAGUCAUGCAGCGAGCCUUUGAAAACGGAAACCGCAACAUGUUUUUAAUUGGUGACUCUGGAUAUCCCUUAGAGCCAUGGCUCAUGACGCCUUUACCCAACCAGCCAGAAGGGUCUCCAAAAUUUUGCUACAAUGAAGCGCUCUGAAAGGCACGAAGCCCUAUUGAGCGACUUUUUGGCGUCCUCAAAGGAACUUGGCGAUGCUUAUCGCAACAAAGGGUUCUAUUAUAUGACCCCGCUGUCGCUGGUAAAGUCGCCAACGCGUGUGCAGCUCUUCACAACCUUCGGUUGAGUGAACGAUCCAAUUGAUAAUUUUUCAACAGACAUUGAGGAUUCAGACAGAAUUUUCGGUAGCCUAAAUCCAUCAUCUUCCACUGCAAAACGCAUACAAGAAAGAUUAAUAGCAAACUUUUUUUCUUAAAACUUUCCAAAGAAAUUUUUUAAUUAUAUUCCUAAAGAAUUUUUAAAAAUUAAAGUUUACAAUCAAAUAUUUUUCAGUAGGUAUACCAUUUAUUAAAAAUGUAAAUAUCACCCGCUCUUAUCCUCUUCAUUUUAUAUUGCCAACUUAAGAAAAAAGUGUUGACCUCUGCCAUUUGAUAAUCAGUUAUUAUGUCUGUAAUAUGUAAAAUAGUCUAUGGAUGUACCCUAAAGUGGUCCAAAAAUGUAUGUAAAAAAAUAAGGUCGCAUUUUUAAUACCGCCAACCCCUAGGAUUGUUCUAUACCAAAAAAAAAAUAGCCCUAUU